GUAGGGAAUAUUGGUCAAUGGACGAAAGUCUGAACCAGCCAUUCCGCGUGCAGGAAGAAGAUUCUAUGGAUUGUAAACUGCUUUUAGCAGAGAAGAAACGCCUUCAUUGAUGAGGGUUUGACGGUAUCUGCGGAAUAAGCACCGGCUAACUCCGUGCCAGCAGCCGCGGUAAUACGGGGGGUGCAAGCGUUAUCCGGAAUCACUGGGUUUAAAGGGUGCGUAGGCGGGAAAUUAAGUCAGUGGUGAAAGUCUGUUGCUUAACGAUAUAAUUGCCGUUGAUUCUGAUUUUCUUGAAUUGGGUUUAGGUUAGCGGAAUGUGACAUGUAGCGGUGAAAUGCAUAGAUAUGUCAUGGAACACCAAUUGCGAAGGCAGCUAGCUGGGCCUUGAUUGACGCUGAGGCACGAAAGCGUGGGUAGCGAACAGGAUUAGAUACCCCAGUAGUCC
rnacentral:rRNA from 1 species